AUUCAUGAGUCAAGCUAAACAAGAUGUUGUGAACGGGAUUACGGUCAUAGCUUCUGAAUGAAAUUGACCGUAACAACGGUCACAAAACCCUGAUCGCCUUUUUGACAAUUUCU
rnacentral:pre_miRNA from 14 species